CUACUGAGCCGGCCGCAGAAAUUGCAGCCGCUCAGCUUCUACCCCCUCCUGCCUUUCCUUCCUCUUUCCUUACUUCCUUCCCUUCCCUCGGCUUCCCGCUCUUGCCUCACUCUCAGCGGCUGCCUUCGCCCCUGUCUGCAGACAGCGCCGCUGGAUGCUCCCAGCUGGACUUCAACCCCACUCCUCUCAGUCCCUCUCCCCACUGCCUUCCAGACGCGCCUCUUCCCCGCCCCGCGCCCCUCUCUCCUCUCCCACCCCUGCCCCUCUCCGCGGCGCUCACCCUCCUCAGUCCCAGUUUCUGAAAGGACUCAGCUGAGAAAGGACAACUGGGUUCCGCUUUCCUUAACCCUACACCCUUUAGCUGGAUGCUGUCAGAGGCGAUGGAGAAACGCAAAGGCUACUAGACGCAACAAUAGAAUUACCAUAUUGUUUUUCCUGGUUUGAAAGGACCAGAUGGAAAGAAACUGGGCAAGCCAAUGAAAGUCUCUGGGGAUCAUGGGAAUUGAGUGUCUAUGAAAACCAUAUUCCAGACAAGAAUAUAGUCUAAGGACACAGCAAGAGGCAACAUUUUGGAAGCAGAGGGCAACUCUCACUGGAAACCAAAUCUCCUGGCACCUUGAUCUUGGAUUUUACAGCCUCCAGAACUUUCUCACACUUCCUUUUGAAAGCUAUUAAAAAUCUAUGGCAGAAAAAUGGUCAAGGAAUAGGAACUACAACUUCAUAAAUGAGGAACCAGAAAAGGAUAGCUGGGAGGCAUUACAUAGUCAUGUGCGAGGUCAAAACUGAGUCACCACCACAACCAAGUUCCAGCUGGCAAGAAGAGGAAAAAUAACACAGAGGAGUUAUGACCAGUGUUGUAAGGAUCUGGCCUAGAAAUGGCAUGCAUCUCUUCCACUAAUAUCCUAUUGGUAAAAAUGUAGUCACAUGGGCACACCACCUAUCUGCAUGGAAGGCUGGGAAAUGUUGAUCGGUAGGGCAGCCAUAUGUGUAGGAAGGAGAAAACAGAAUUUGGUGGAUACCUAGUAGUCUCUGCCAUACCCUUGACCAGAAAUUUUUCUUCUAAAGAAUUUAAUUCUAAAAGUUAUAGACAUUCCCAAAGAUAUACCUGCAAGCAUCACAGCUUUGUGUAUAAUUGCAAAAGUUGAAAUCAACAUGAAUGCCCAAAAUAGUGAAUUAUUUAAACAGAUUAUUACCCAUAUUAUGAAGAAAUACUCUGCAACUCUUAAAAAUAAAUGUAAUGUGCCAGGCGCAAUGGGAUAUGCCUGCAGGCCCAGCUACACGGGAGGCCAAGGCAGGAGGAUCACUUGAAAUCAAGAGUUCAAGUCUAGCCUAGACAACAUAGUGAGACUUGGUCUCUAAAAAAGAAAAAAAAAAAUAAAACUGAUGUAAUGAAUAUAUAAUUACAACAAAAGAGGUCUAACACUAUAGUAGAAAAGUUUGGGGCACUCAUCCCAUUCAUAAUUAUUUUACAUUUAAAUUACUGUUCCUACUUAAGUGGUGAGCUUGGUAACCAUUUUCAUAUCAGGUGAUACUGCUGCAGUAAUCAUAGCUGUUUGAAUCAGGAAUAAUCCCAAUCACAUUUUCUCUUAAUCGUUUAUUAUACUGGGCAUUGGGGUUGCAAGAUAAUGCACAGUCCGAGCUCAAUACAUGUCUUCAUGUACCUGUAUGUAAAUCCCACUUUUAUUCUAAAAUUCUUUGAAUAUUUUGUUUCUUGGAACCCAAUGAUCCUAAGAAAAUUAUGUACUUUUACCUGAAAAUUAAAACCAAUAUUUAUAAAAAGUGUAUAUGCAGUAUGAUACCACUUUUAAAAAAAGAUAAAUUUAUAGAAAAAAGUUUAUAUGACUGACAACAAUGUCUCUGAGUGGUAGGAUUACAGUUAAUUUUUAUUUUCUUCAUUCUACUUAUCUUUAUUUUCUGAACUUUCUACAAUGAACAUGUUUUAUUUUUACUUUUGUUAAAAUAAAUAACAUUUAAUUUGACGGAAAAUUCUAAAAAUCAACAUUUGGUAACUUAAAUAUUCAUUGGCACAUGAUUCUGUGCCUGUUUCUGGGGGUCAUUCCCAUGAGAAGAGCAGGUAGAACUUAUGAGAAUAGAGCAGUCGAAAUAUUAUAGGUUUCAUAUUUUACGGCUUUAUUGAAAACAUUGAUAUAUUGAAUAUUCAUAAAUUUUAAUUUAACUUUCUUUUAUAAUCCUUAAUGUGAGGCUAAGGUAUAAGGAGAAAGGAGAUUGGUAAGGAAGUGUGAUACAUAUUGAAUCAGGUGUCAAGGUACCAUUUGUGCCUGGAUCUGACCAAUAGACCAAGGUAAAAAUCUCAAAGAAUGAGACUUGUAAUGAGAAUGCCACAAACUUGAAUACCUUAUGCACAAAACACAAACAUUGUUAUGCAUAAUGUACAUGAACCCUGAAACAAAGAUAAUGAUUUGGACCACCCAACUGAAGUGGCAUGUUAUGUUUUUGGCAUGAACAAAAGAAACAAGAGAGAAAAAAAUCAAAAUAAUUAAAAUAAAUUGUUAGAGAAAAGUUACUUUAAAAAUAGCUAUAACGCUUUGCAAUUUCAGUAACAGUUCUGCCUCUGAUGCAAUGUAAAACAUGUAUUAGACAUUCAGGCUCCACAAUAAAUUUUAAUGAGCACUACAAAUUUAGAAUAUAUAAAAAUAUCAGUAACCUAUGAAUUCAUCAACAUAACUCACUUUUCAGUUAAGUUAGGCUGAGUUGAAAUUCUACUAAGUUUUCCCAUAUUCUUGAUAAAGGCUAAAUUUGAAAUAAUUUAUUUAGAUGACUAAUUGGCAAUUUGAUAGUAGUUACAUUUUAUGUAACACUUGAUAUAAUAACCCAAAUUAAUUAGCUCAAUAUUAUCUUCUGUGGUUUAUUGAUCCAAAAGUACAUAUUUGUUAUGUAAACUUAUACUAUGUAAACUUGAAUUAGUUUUUUGCUUCCUUGAAUUAAUAAAGCCCAUUAAUGCAAAUCUAAGCCUUCAUAGACUUUUCCAAUCCUUAGUUAAAUAUUAAAAACUGAGUAUUGUAGUUAUUUGCUAGGUAUAAAAGGUGACUCAGAGUAGAGAGUAAGAUGUCAGCAAAUAGACAAUAAGAUGUCAGCAAAAGUGCCUCAAAUUUUAACUGCGUCAAGUUAAGGGCAUUGUAAAUACUGUAGUUUUAUGUAGCUUGCAACUUCUACUGAAAUGAGUUUAAUCAUGUCUUUCACAUAGCUGAAGUUUGUGUCAAGAUUUAAGCUGAUUUUCUCAUUCUUAUCAAAGUCUCACCUGGGGGUAGGGAGGGGUAGGCCUACCUCCCACCUCUAUACUAUCAUUUUAGGAACAGACAGGCAUAAAUCUGUUCAUAUGGUAGAACACAUGAUGUUAGAGUAUAUUUUGUUGAAUGCUAUGGAAUAUUAAUAUAAUUAAUUCUAAAAUAUCACCUAAAAUAUGUCAACUGAAGAUCUGACUGUACUAAAUAUGAAAAAUAAAGCAGCACAUACUUUC
rnacentral:lncRNA from 1 species